AUGGACUACUACUUGUCAUGGAGAUGUCUAUUGCUGGUCCUCUGCACUCUGAACUCCAUGUUUCGGAGUUGUUCGGGCUGCUUCUUGGAGCAGAGAGCGUCCCUCGUUGAUAUUAGCUCUGGCCUCAUAAUCUUUGGGCAUGACUAUGAGAAUCAGAUGCACAGUUCUUGGGGAGUCGGUGAUGACUGCUGUUCGUGGAAAGGGAUCACAUGUGACAAUAGCACAGGGCUAAUAUCGCAUCUUGACCUUUCCCCAAUCGACCAAGAUAUGGACCAUAUGGAAGAAAUGGAAGCAAAUGAUUCAUCAGGUCUCCAAGGAUUGAGUAAGCUCAAGUAUCUCGACCUCAGUUUCAAUAGUUUACUAGGGGGCAUCCCCGGAUCUGUUGGUCUGAGAAAUCUCCAUAACCUGCGUGAAUUGCAUUUGGGAUCCAAUGAAUUGAGUGGUAGCCUCCCAGCAUCCUUAUUUGCACUCCCACGCCUUGUUUACUUGGAUCUUUCAGACAACCACUUGCAAGGGCAUAUACCUAUAAACUCAUCUUGGAACCUGCGAGGAUUGCGUUUGAGAUCCAAUAAAUUGAGUGGUAGCAUCCCAGCAUCCUUAUUUGCACUUCCAAGCCUUGAGUACUUGGAUCUUUCAGACAACCUCUUGCAAGGAAAUAUACCUAUAAACUCAUCUUGGAACCCGCGAGAAUUGCGUUUGAGAUCCAAUAAAUUUAGUGGUAGCAUCCCAGCAUCCUUAUUUGCACCUCCACACCUUGAGUACUUGGAUCUUUCAGACAACCUAUUGCAAGGAUAUAUACCUAUAAACUCAUCUUGGAACCUGCGAGAAUUGCGUCUGAGAUCCAAUAAAUUGAGUGGUAGCAUCCCAGCAUCAGUGUUUGCACUUCCAUGCCUAGAGUACUUGGAUCUUUCAAGAAACCUCUUGGAAAGAUAUGUACCCAUAAAAUCAUCUUCAAAGUGUUCCUCAUUGCUUCAAACUAUCAGGUUAUCCAAAAACAAGCUAAGCGGUAAAUUUGAUUUUUUCUGGUUAAGAAACUGUGUGAAGCUCAAACAGAUAGAUCUGUCCCGGAAUACUGAUUUGGUCGUUCAAGUGAAACUGCAUGGUUGGGUACCAAAAUUUCAAUUGAAUACACUAAGGCUCUCUUGGUGUAACCUUGAUAAGAGCAUGAUUACUGAGCCAAAUUUCCUCCGCACACAGCAUCAUCUACUUUUUCUUGAUUUGUCCAACAAUAAUUUGCCGGGAAACAUGCCUGACUGGUUGUUCACAAAUGAAGCCACACUGGUUUACCUGAAUCUUGCAAACAACUCACUAGUUGGAUCGCUAGAUCGGGUAUGGCAACACCAAACUUACCUUAAACAAGUUAACAUAUCUCUGAACCUAGUUGAAGGACAGCUGCCAGCCAACAUCGGUUUGAUGUUUCCUAAUCUUACAAUUCUUGAUGUUUCCCACAAUAUUAUAUCUGGAACAAUACCACCAUCGCUCUGCAACAGCAGCAUACAACUUAUGGACCUAUCAAAUAACAGAUUUACAGGAGAAGUACCAUCCUGCUUGUUCACUGAUUUUUACGCACUGAAUGUAUUGAAGCUCUCAAACAAUAGUCUCGGGGGUAAGAUACUUGACGGGGUUAGUAGCUUCUCUGGUCACCUGUGGGCCAUAUACCUCGACAACAACAAAUUUGAAGGAACUCUCCCUAGAAAUCUGUCUGGUGAUAUAGCCCUCAUGGAUUUACAUGGUAACAAGAUGUCAGGAGAACUGAACACUUCAUUAUGGUUUCUUCCUUCACUGGAAGCUUUGAGCCUUUCUUGUAAUGGUUUAACUGGUGCCAUUCAUCCAGGAAUUUGCACAUUAACAAAACUUCGGAUAUUAGAUCUGUCAGAAAACUACUUUAUGGGGCAUAUUCCAAACUGCAGCACUGUAUUACCUCUCGAGUUUCUGAGUGUAUCCGGGAAUUCGCUGUCAGGCUUCCCGAGUGCAUUUUUCUUCAGCUCGUACAUUACAGCUCUGGAUCUCAGCCAUAAUCAGUUCACAGGCAACCUUGAGUGGGCACAAUAUCUUUCUCAAAUCAGUGUACUUUUGUUAAGCAGGAACAAGUUUGUGGGACAGAUCUCUUCAAAUAUGUGUCGUCUCCAACGCUUGAGUAUAAUUGACAUCUCCCACAACAUGCUUUCGGGUUCCAUACCACCAUGUAUUGGUGGCAUUGCACUUGAAGACCCUGAUGAUUACGAGUACGGUUGGCCCUCAAUUGGGAUAACUUACUCUACAGGAGAUUAUGCCGUGGGCAUGUACAGCAGUGAUUAUGAACCCCAAGGCUUCACCUUCACAACUAAAGGGAACUCAUACACAUACGGAAGUAACUUUUUCAUGUUGAUGUCUGGCAUUGACUUCUCUGCUAACAUGCUGUCAGGAAACAAGCUGGAUGGAACCAUACCAUGGCAGUUAGCUCGGUUGUCAUCAUUGGAGGUGUUCUCUGUGGCGUACAAUAGCUUAUCUGGAUGUCUACCAGCCACCGGUCAGCUCAGCACAUUUGAUGUGGACAGUUACAGAGGGAACGACAACCUUAGGUCAUGCACUGCCAGUUCAGAUCCCGUUGCACGGAAUGGCACAGGAGGAAAUGCACCUGGUGAUUCUGAUCCGAUCAUCUACAUGGUCACUGUUGUUUCAUUUGUCUUGGCAUUUUGGGCCACUAUCACAUUCGUAUUCUGCCAUCCAUUUGGGCAGCGUGUUAUUCUCAAACUGUAA
rnacentral:rRNA from 1 species